CAGCCGCCACGGGAAUACGGAGGGUGCAAGCGUUAAUCGGAAUUACUGGGCGUAAAGCGCACGCAGGCGGUUUGUUAAGUCAGAUGUGAAAUCCCCGAGCUUAACUUGGGAACUGCAUUUGAAACUGGCAAGCUAGAGUCUUGUAGAGGGGGGUAGAAUUCCAGGUGUAGCGGUGAAACGCGUAGAGAUCUGGAGGAAUACCGGUGGCGAAGGCGGCCCCCUGGACAAAGACUGACGCUCAGGUGCGAAAGCGUGGGGAGCAAACAGGAUUAGAUACCCGGGUAGUCCCUGUCUCUUAUAC
rnacentral:rRNA from 1 species